rnacentral:tRNA from 1 species
GGGGUUGUGGCUCAGGGGUAGAGCGCUUGCCUAGCAUAUGCAAGGCCCUGGGUUCAAUCCUCAGCACCACA